GCCGACUUGGCGCAAUUGGCAGCGCACUGCACUUGUAAUGCGGGGGUUAUGGGUUCGAGUCCCAUAGUCGGCU
rnacentral:tRNA from 1 species